AUUGAACGCUGGCGGCAGGCCUAACACAUGCAAGUCGAACGAGUGGCGGACGGGUGAGUAAUGUCUGGGAAACUGCCUGAUGGAGGGGGAUAACUACUGGAAACGGUAGCUAAUACCGCAUACCAUCAGAUGUGCCCAGAUGGGAUUCGCUAGUGGGUGGGGUAAUGGCUCACCUAGGCGACGAUCCCUAGCUGGGCUGAGAGGAUGACCAGCCAGACUGGAAUUGAGAAACGGUCCAGACUCCUACGGGAGGCAGCAGUGGGGAAGAGUGCACAAUGGGCGCAAGCCGGAUGCAGCCAUGCAGCGUGUGUGAAGAAGGCCUUCGGGUUGUAAAGCACUGUCAGCGAGGAGGCGUUACUCGCAGAAGAAGCACCGGCUAACUCCGUGCCAGCAGCCGCGGUAAUAC
rnacentral:rRNA from 1 species